GAUGAACGCUAGCGGCAGGCCUAACACAUGCAAGUCGAGGGGUAGAAGGAGCUUGCUCCUUUGAGACCGGCGCACGGGUGCGUAACGCGUAUGCAAUCUACCUUGUGCAGGGGAAUAGCCCAGAGAAAUUUGGAUUAAUGCCCCAUAGUAUAUAACCUUCGCAUGUUGGUUAUAUUAAAGUUCCAACGGUACAAGAUGAGCAUGCGUCCCAUUAGUUAGUUGGUAAGGUAACGGCUUACCAAGACGAUGAUGGGUAGGGGUCCUGAGAGGGAGAUCCCCCACACUGGUACUGAGACACGGACCAGACUCCUACGGGAGGCAGCAGUGAGGAAUAUUGGUCAAUGGUCGCAAGACUGAACCAGCCAUGCCGCGUGCAGGAAGACGGUCCUAUGGAUUGUAAACUGCUUUUAGACAGGAAGAAACCCUCCCACGUGUGGGAGCUUGACGGUACUGUAGGAAUAAGGAUCGGCUAACUCCGUG
rnacentral:rRNA from 1 species